rnacentral:rRNA from 17 species
AACGACUCUCGACAACGGAUAUCUCGGCUCUCGCAUCGAUGAAGAACGUAGCGAAAUGCGAUACUUGGUGUGAAUUGCAGAAUCCCGUGAACCAUCGAGUCUUUGAACGCAAGUUGCGCCCGAAGCCAUUAGGCUGAGGGCACGUCUGCUUGGGUGUCACGC